CAUCCUUCUUCAGAGCAGAGGUAAAUUAAGACACUGGAAUGGCUACCCCUCCAGAAGAGUCAUUGUUUGUUGGGUCUUCAAGACACCCAGAAAUGGUGCCAACGGUAACACAGAUGACUCUGGAGAAUGAAGGGGUGAGCCUCCUCCAAGGGUAGCAACCGAAGGCAUCUGACCCUCCCUUCCCCGGUGAUGGCAGGCAACACUAGCUAAUCCCAGCUUCUUCACCCUCUUAACUUAUGCUUGGCACCUCAGAACACUUCACAAGAGAUUUUCCAGGCAGACGGCCACCAGAUUUCCCAUGCGAGUUGAAACCGCCCCCAGACCAGGCCAAAGUUGACCUCUGGACUAGUUAUGAAAUUAAGGGGUAUAAGGGGCUUGCUCAAUGAACAAAUGAACAGUCUUAACCUAAUUCUGAUGCAACUAUUUACCCUACUUAUGAGCCCAAACUUUUCAGACACUUCAUUACCAUUCAUUUAGAUAUAAAUAUCUUAAUUCCACUAAUAAAUCAUUCUUAUCUCUUCAUUAAUAAGAGCUUCUUAAGGGUCAUUAUUAGGUAACGUAUCCCUGGCCCUCUCAAAAACGUCAUCCUAAUUAAUAAAACCAUACAUCUCUAUGAAUAAUGUAUAGUUCAGGGUCUUCAGUAAUUAGAUUGAAAUGAAGUUUUAUCGUCCUUCACUUUCAUUCCGCAUAGUAGGAGACGUACAUAGUUCUCCGCCAUGCCUAUACGGUGUAGCUCACCCGGAUAAGCCUCUCCUUUUACAGGCAGUGUGAGGAUGUACCCAGAACUGAUGUCUUCAAAACAAGCACGGUGAAACAAAUGUCUGAUUCUUCGGCCAGUGUGCGCCAGCCUCAGAACAAACAAGCCAUUAUAUGAAGGGCAAAGCAUUGGGAUUACAAAGCCAGCGGAGAAGCAGGCACCUUUCCCGCUGGUCAGCACUGGAGAACAAAGUCACAGGAAUUCCACGAAUCCAUGAAAAACUCCAGGUUUCCUAGCCCCCAAUCAGCCUCCGCGGCCGAGAGGAGUCACCCGGGAUCUAUUCUCCCUCCAGAUGCCAUGUUUCCCUCGGGUUUUCUGACUUUGAUCUCUCAGCUACAUUUCUAAGCUCUGGCCUAUUUCUCUCUCGUGCCCUUCAAUUUCUUGCUUUUAAAACUACAGCCUGCAUUUUGCUCAGAACAACUACAAAAGUCACGAUGUUUGAAACGCAAGGAAACACAAACUCCUUCCAAACAAUUCAAGAGUCGGCUUCCACUUUUUUUUUUUUUUUUUUGAUGUCCAGUACUAUGUGAAUAAACUCACGCUGGAAUUUUCCAGGCGAUCCUGUGACCUCACCCUGCAAAUUAGACUCAACCACCAGGCGUUUUGAAACCACCAUUAUCCAGUGUCAUGUGAGAAGCCUUUGUUUUUAUCCCCCGCAGGCAUUUCGGUCCAGGAGGAAGGACAGACAGACGCGGCUACUUUGCGUGUUUCUGCCCUGUUAUGGAAGACAGCCUGUGCUGGACAGGCAAGAACCCAGGCACACGCUUCCCUGGAUUCUUUUCCCCACAGGCUUGCUGAACAAGAUGUGCGCCAGAAGAGCUUCCAGAUCUCCUCAGAAAAGGCCAGUCCUUUGAUCCACAGCCCAGAAGAGCCAGGACCACCCACUCUGAGCACAGUCCCCUCUAACCUUGCCCUGUCUGUCUCCUUGAGGUGGACCAUGCUGUUCUGUGUUCUCAUCAACUGACCUUGAGGCCAAGCCAGGGCAUCUCGGGAGCCUAGCACCCUGAACAGUAUCUGGCUCCAGCUGGCUGCUCCCCUCAGGAUUAUCAACCGAGAACCAUCAAAUGGCAUUUUAUAAUAAGGACCAAGACUGUUUUAACCCUCCAGGGCAAACUGAAAGUCACCAGCUCCAACGUAAACUGCAGUAGAACUUGGGUGCCUUCAAGAAAUAGUGUCUUUGAAUCGAUUUUCUCACUUCUACACAUCUACAGUGUCUGCAGAUGCCACAGGCCGCGGAGGACAGGGGAGGGAACUGGGCUGGGUCAGUAACACUGGGCUUCAGCCAAACUCAGGGUGGAGGUGCAGCCGGCAGGCAAGAUGGCGGGCUCUGCACAGAAGGCGCUCAGGCUCCUCCGCCUCCCUCCUCGGCUUUCAUUCUCCCUCUCUCAGGAACCUCUUUCAGAGGAUGAUGUCAGUGGAAAAUGACUCCACCAUGCACGCCCGUUAUAGUAGCAUCCCUGCAGAUCCGAGCUUAACUGUACUGAAACUGUCAAUCAAGCAACAUAAAGGAGAAAAAAAAAUAAGUCCUUCUCAAUCCAAGCUCUUUGAGAACUAUUAGGUGUCUCCAAGCCCUACCCUGGGGGCUCCAGAGACCUAGGUAAUUCACUUAUUAUGUGACUGGAACAUACAAUCCUCUGCCUCUGCUAUACCCCUGUAUCUUCCAGGACCGAAAAUGGCUGGUCUCUGUGGUUCAGAACGAGCGCCAGGCACCACACAGUGCUCCACAAAAUCAAAUGCUCAUGAUGAGAACUGUAUUUCUAUAGAUAAUAGCAGGUAACGGGAGUGCUGGUGUCGUUAUUGUCCAUGUAAGAGACCUGAAAGGGAAGCCGCCCUGAGCUAAUCAUAGGCCUCUUCUCUGAUGGUUUGACCCUCGGCAGAGAACCAGGGCCCUUGCAGAGAGGUGGCCCUGUAUGACACCUACAUGGGAGUGGCUGGUGGACGCUGAGGAAAUGGAUAAAGUCUACAAAGAGAGCAGGAUGCUGAAGCCAAGUGCUGUUUUCCAUUAUAUGCAUACAGCCUCGAAUACAACAAAAGAAAAACCUCAGUAACUGUCCUUGGUGGUCCCAAGAUCCAGUCUAUAACAGAAGUUUCUAGAAGUCUAGGAAUGUGGGUGGAGUUGCUAAAAACCCCACUUAUUUCCUUGCAGCCUAGCCCAGGCUGAGGGAGACACCAUCUCUGGUCUUUCCGUGGCAGCUCCGGAAGGCAGCUUAAGUGUGCUGAACUAGGCUAUUUCCUCUCCACGGAACUUCAUGUGCACACACAAUGGGAACUCAUUUCCUCCUAUUGGUUUUUGUUCAGGCGGUUUCCUCUGAUAGGGAUGUGUUCUACUCACUAAUCGCUAUCUGCUCCAGGUUACUACUCAACGUAAGGCAAGGCCUAUCCAAUGGCAAUCACAUCCAGCUCGCCCACUCCGUGUGGCCUCUCCCUCUUUCCUAUGUUAUGUAAAGCAUCGUGUGUUAAGGGUCAACACAAAUGGAGUUAAUGUCAGGUUUCUUCUUUGUCUUUGUGCACACACAUAUGAAUGUGUGCAUGUGCAUGUAUGUAUGUGUAUAUGUGCAUGUGUGUAUGUGCAUGUGUGUAUGUGCAAGUGCGUAUGUGCAUGUGUGUAUGUAUGUGUGUAUGUGCAUGUGUGUAUGUGCAUGUGUGUAUGUGCAUGUGUGUAUGUGCGAGUGUGUAUGUGCGUGUGUGUAUGUAUGUGUGUAUGUGCAAGUGUGUAUGUGCAUGUGUGUAUGUGCGUGUGUAUGUGCAUGUGUGUAUGUGCGUGUGUGUGUGCAUGUGUGUAUGUAUGUGUUGUGUGCAUGUGUGUAUGUAUGUGUGUAUGUGCGAGUGUGUAUGUGCAUGUGUGUGCUCAUGCCUUUGGAGGAUGCCAUCUUGAUUGGCCGCCAGGCAGUUUGUUUUGCUUCCUUUAUAGCAACAGGGUAUGAAACAAACAGAUUUCAAUCCACAUUCCCAAAGGGAGGGGCUGAACUUUUUGAAAAUGAUUCAGGAUGCAUAUGAAGAUUUUUCAAUCUUUAAAUUUGUAGAUUGGGAAAUUUCUGAAAAUUUUCCUUAAGUAGAAGCUGGACCUUGGAUGUUAUAUGUUUCCAUUUUCACUCCCUUCUCUGUGUCUGAGUUUCCUUUUCACUAUUCUGCUCCCAUCUCUCCCUGGAUUCUGGACCGCACUCCAUUCCUUUGUUUGUGCAUGACCCAAACCGUAUGACCCAGAACUCCAGCAAACACUUGACUUGUGAAAGUCUCUGCUAUUGGCGGGUUCUCGGCCGGGCCUGGGAGAGAGGCUGUGACAGGGCUCCUCACACAGGCAACUGGGUCACCGCAUCCAGGAAGGAAGCAGCCUCGCUUAUUCUCUCUCCAGGCAACAAAGCCACUGCCCUUCCUUGGGGACCAACCAGAGGGCCAGAAUGGACGGACAGCUGUCCCAGGAGCCUCUCUUUGCUCCAGAGACAACCCGUCACUCACUCACUCACUCAUUUCCAAAGAACUCAGGAGUUGGAGCCUAACAUGGUCCAGUCACCACCCGCUUGAACAACCUGAAAGCAGGCUGAGUGGAGACAAUUAGUUUUAUCUGUGCCAAAACAUCUCAAGGCUCGGCCUGCUGUGGAGCUGGCUCAUGUCCUCCAUUUUCACACAGGCAGCUAGGAGAGACUUCCCAAAUGUAGGCCCUUCUGUCUUCAAAAGCAACUGUGUUUCAACUCUAUUAGAAGCAGGAUGACCCCUUUAGUCUGAGAUGACGUGUACUGGGGUCUCACCAUCUCUACCAAAUGUAAACAUUCCCCAAAGCCUAGAUAAAAUUCUUCUGCGGGUAAGGCCUUCUGCAUUUUGCUGAAAAACAAUGUGGUCUUUGUGAGGGCUAACAAGAACUGAUGAAUUUGCAGAAAUCCUAGGUUGAAGUCGCUGAUCUUUCUAGAACCCUUAGAGGGCUGCGGUCAUGCACUCACCCCAGAAAAUACAUGUGAACUAUCACGCACUUAGUUGAUUGUUUAAUCUGUGUACCCCCUUUAUAUAGGUGUUUCCAUUCAAUCCUGUUCCUCAGAGAAGCAGACAACAGACACCAUCUGAAGGAUGAGGAAGCGUAAGUUCAAAUAGCCUUGCCUAAAAUCGUGCAUCUGGUCUACAGUGAGACUAGGGCUUACAGGGUUUGAGUGGCCCAUAAGGCUGUGCCUGAAGGUCUGUGAAUAACUUCCAUUUAAAUCACUGGAUUCUUCUAAUAAAUGUAGAUUCCUGGGCCCCACCCCAGAUAUCCCAAGUCAGAAUUUUGGGGAACAGGCCAAGAAAUCUGAUUUUUUUUUUUAAACCAAGCUUCCAAAGAGUUUAGGCAGUCAACAAAACCAGUUUUUGGAGCAGUGUGAUGAGUUUUUGAAUGGGGAUAGCAAGAAAGCAGGUUUUCCUUUUCCUGGAGUCCCAGCUGGGUAAAGCCGUGGAGCAUAGAUACACGGUCCUGUCACACUGUUUCAAGUCUCAUCCUGCUGGCCUUGACCUUGGAGGCUUGUCGUCUUUUACUUGGUUUUUAACUGGCCAGGCUCUCAAGGGUGAAGAAACAGGCCAGUUCCUUUUGUGAGAUGCAUCGUUUGUCUUCCUCAGAGGAACACAAGCAGAAGUGUCACUUCUGUGGCAAUUAAGCAACUAGAACUUUCUUUGUAAAAACUGAGGUCACUCUAGACAAUGCCUAGUUCAGCAUUUUAGUCCUCGCCUCUCUCUGACCAUUUCCUCCACCUGCCAACAUUCUUCUGUGACAUUUGAAUAAACAGAGAAGAUAAUGCAGAUCCCUGACUGAAGAUCCAGGGGCUCAGCUGGCCUGCCUUCAGUGUUCCGAAGCUCUGCAGCACACAGUUGUGUGCACUCCAGGGUGAAAUGUGUUCAGUUUACAUUGCAAUGGAAAGUCCCGCCUCUGUUGGCGUGAGUGGUGAAGCAUGAGUCUGACUCACAGCUAAUCCCCAUCUAAAGAAAUGCCUGUCUCCACAAUAAAACACUCCAUUCA